rnacentral:lncRNA from 1 species
GAAGUCCCACAACUCGGACUUGUUACAUGAUUGGUUGAAGCUGCUACCUAAGCCAACACACCACUGUUCUAAGGAAUUGUCUCCUAAUUCUUCCAGGUUCCAAAACUCUGCUUCUUCUUUUGGAGUGAAGUAUUUAUCUGUUUCUUCUGCUGUAUCAUCAUCCUGAUCUUCCUUUAUCCUCUUGUGGUCAAUUCUUGCAUUUGAGCAACCCGGACUAUCUUUCAACUCUAACUCUGUUCCUCCAUUUUCUGAGCUUGUGUACAAUUCAUUGUCUUUCAAAUCUUCGCUUCUGCUGCCUCUAGCAACAUUGUUUUCUAGCUGAUCAUUUAAUAGCUCCAACUGUGUGUAAAAAAAAAACAAUCUUUAUUAGCUUCUAUAAGUUGGCUUUCACUGUUAGAAAAGAGGAUAAUGAAAAAGAAUACCUGAAUGAGCAGUCUCUCCUUUUCUGUUUUCAAGGACUGAAAUUGCAUGUUUAAAUGGUCAAAUUUUGCUUUGAGUACUAUAUAUUCGUUCUCUAAUUGCUUUGUUUUCCAUCUAGCCCUUUUAUUCUGAAACCAAAUAGCUACUUGACGCGGCUGCAGCCCAAGAUCUCUUGCCAACUGUAGCUUCUUUCUUGGCUCAAGCUUUGUCUCCAGUCUAAACAUGGACUCAAGCAACUUGACUUGUUCAUCAGUAAACCUUUUACCAUUUUCACUACUCUUCUUCUUUAAGGAGUUGGAACUCUUUGAUAUUUUCAGUUCUUGAGAUUCUUCUGGUUCCAUUACUUUGUUGAGUUCCAAGUCAGAGAAAGUUGUUCUGUUGUCAAUUGUGUAUUCAACUGGAUAUAUGGAAAAUAUUAUAUUAGCAGGGCAGCUAUAUAUGUUAAAACUUUUUGUAUAUGUGUCUUGAUCUAAUAUAUAGUCACCUAUAUGAGAAGUAUCUCCUGUGGUUGCUUUCAGGUGAUUGGGACUUUUGGUUUGCUGGUUGAUUCAAGCCUAUUGUCUAAGCUGUCGUGUAUGCUUUUCCAACCUCUCUCUUCUGGGUAUUUUGUUGAUAUCUUUUUAAUUCUCAAAACAAGGAUACCUUCUAUCUCUAGAGUGCUUUUAACUUUCCAGAAUUUUGUUUUUCUAUUCAAAGUGAGCAACUUAUUGUCUUAAGUUGUCUUUCCCCCUCAGCCUUUGGCAAUUCCUUUAUGUAUGAAUGUAUACGGUCAAAAUCAGAGACCUUCGAUUUACAGGCUCGAAAGUCCAUCCUAGGCCCAAGUCCGGGAUGGUCGAAUUCGAGCCCGAUGGAUCGAAUUCAAGCUCGAAGACAGAGUGCCAUGCUCAAGAGAUAGGAGCACGAGGAGUGUCAGGGCUAACUAUGCUCGACCCCAAAAUAGUACCGUUAUGUAUUUACAACGGAAUGAGCUAGAUUCUCGUCAUGUCCCUAAAAUCAUAGUGUAAUCUCAGAAUAAGAUCGUACAAUUCCGUACUAGGCGGUUAGACAGUUGUACCAAGAAUAUUC